rnacentral:rRNA from 1 species
AUGGAUUCGCACCAAGUCCUCGUCGCCAGGCCGACCCCGUCCCCUUCUGUUCGUCUCGAGCAUCAAGUGCAGCUGCCUCCUCUGCCGACUUGCUCCCCACCGAAUCCGGUGGCUCGUAGCACCACUGCCGUCGUCGCCUCAAGUCCCUACCGCUGCGCGCCGCGAAGUCCUGAUGAAGCCACAGCUCUAUUUGGUGCCUCUGCCUGUGAGCAACGCCAUCUCGCCUCGAGCCCUCGUCGGUGA